rnacentral:tRNA from 1 species
UGGGGUUAUGGCUCAGUGGUAGAGCGCUUCUCUCACACAUACAAGGCCCUGGGUUCGAUCUUCAGAACCACAA